rnacentral:rRNA from 1 species
UGAGGAAUAUUGGUCAAUGGGCGCAAGCCUGAACCAGCCAUGUCGCGUGCAGGACGACUGCCCUAUGGGUUGUAAACUGCUUUUGUAUGGGAAGAAACGACGGCACGAGUGCUGUUUUGCCGGUACCAUACGAAUAAGGAUCGGCUAACUCCGUGCCAGCAGCCGCGGUAAUACGGAGGAUCCGAGCGUUAUCCGGAUUUAUUGGGUUUAAAGGGUGCGUAGGCGGGAUAUUAAGUCAGUGGUGAAAGUUUGACGCUCAACGUUAAAAUUGCCAUUGAUACUGGUUUUCUUGAGUACAGUUGAGGUAGGCGGAAUGUGGUGUGUAGCGGUGAAAUGCAUAGAUAUACCACAGAACACCGAUUGCGAAGGCAGCUUACUAAGUUGUAACUGACGCUGAAGCACGAAAGCAUGGGGAUCAAACAGG